ACACCGUUGGUGAAGUGGUUAUCAUGCUUGCCUUCCAAUUGAUUAGCAAGCGGCUCGGGUUCGAUUCCCGAACGGUGUA